CGGUAAUACGGUAGGGUGCGAGCGUUAAUCGGGUAAAUUACGUGGGCGGUAAAGGGUGCGCAGGCGGUUCUGUAAGUCAGAUGGUAGAAACGUCCCCCGGGGACUUUAACCGUGGGAACUGUCGUUUAGAAACUACAGAGCUAGAGUGUGGCAGGAGGGGGGUGGAAUUCCAUGUGUAGCAGUGAAAUGCGUAGAGAUAUGGAAGAACAUCGAUGGCGAAGGCAGCCCCCUGGGGUCAACACUGACGCUCAGGCACGAAAGCGUGGGGAGCAAACAGGAUUAGAUACCCUGGUAGUCCACGCCCUAAACUAUGUCAACUAGUUGUCGGGCCUUAUUAGGUUUGGUAACGUAGCUAACGCGUGAAGUUGACCGCCUGGGGAGUACGGUCGCAAGAUUAAAACUCAAAGGAAUUGACGGGGAU
rnacentral:rRNA from 1 species